GACGAACGCUGGCGGCGUGCUUAACACAUGCAAGUCGAACGGAAAGGCCCCUUUGGGGGUACUCGAGUGGCGAACGGGUGAGUAACACGUGAGUAACCUGCCCUUGACUUCGGGAUAACUUCAGGAAACUGGGGCUAAUACCGGAUAGGAAUCCUUGCUGCAUGGUGGGGGUUGGAAAGCUUCGGCGGUUUUGGAUGGACUCGCGGCUUAUCAGCUUGUUGGUGGGGUAGUGACUUACCAAGGCUUUGACGGGUAGCCGGCCUGAGAGGGCGACCGGCCACAUUGGGACUGAGAUACGGCCCAGACUCCUACGGGAGGCAGCAGUGGGGAAUAUUGCACAAUGGGCGGAAGCCUGAUGCAGCAACGCCGCGUGCGGGAUGACGGCCUUCGGGUUGUAAACCGCUUUCAGCAGGGGCGAAGCUUGUGGUGACGGUACCUGCAGAAGAAGCACCGGCUAACUACGUG
rnacentral:rRNA from 1 species